rnacentral:rRNA from 1 species
UGCAGUCGAGCGAUGAGAUCACUUCGGUGAAGGAUUAGCGGCGAACGGGUGAGGAACACGUGAAGAAUCUGCCUUCAACUCUGGGAUAACUCCGGGAAACCGGGGCUAAUACCGGAUAUGAGCCUUGAUCGCAUGAUCGGGGCUGGAAAGUUUUUCGGUUGAAGAUGACUUCGCGGCCUAUCAGCUUGUUGGUGAGGUAAUGGCUCACCAAGGCGACGACGGGUAGCCGGCCUGAGAGGGCGACCGGCCACACUGGGACUGAGACACGGCCCAGACUCCUACGGGAGGCAGCAGUGGGGAAUAUUGGGCAAUGGAGGAAACUCUGACCCAGCGACGCCGCGUGCGGGAUGAAGGCCUUCGGGUUGUAAACCGCUUUCAGCAGGGAAUAAGCGCAAGUGAAGGUACCUGCAGAAGAAGCACCGGCUAACUAUGUGCCAGCAGCCGCGGUAAUACAUAGGGUGCAAGCGUUGUCCGGAAUUAUUGGGCGUAAAGAGCUCGUAGGUGGUUUGUUACGUCGGUUGUGAAAUUCAGGGGCUCAACCCCUGACUUGCAGCCGAUACGGGCAAGCUAGAGUUUGGUAGGGGAGACUGGAAUUCCUGGUGUAGCGGUGGAAUGCGCAGAUAUCAGGAGGAACACCGAUGGCGAAGGCAGGUCUCUGGGCCAAUACUGACACUGAGGAGCGAAAGCGUGGGGAGCGAACAGGAUUAGAUACCCUGGUAGUCCACGCCGUAAACGGUGGGCGCUAGUUGUGCGAACCUUCCACGGUUUGUGCGACGCAGCUAACGCAUUAAGCGCCCCGCCUGGGGAGUACGAUCGCAAGAUUAAAACUCAAAGGAAUUGACGGGGCCCCGCACAAGCAGCGGANCAUGC